rnacentral:rRNA from 1 species
AUUGAACGCUGGCGGCAGGCCUAACACAUGCAAGUCGAACGGUAACAGGAAGAAGCUUGCUUCUUUGCUGACGAGUGGCGGACGGGUGAGUCAUGUCUGGGAAACUGCCUGAUGGAGGGGGAUAUCUACUGGAAACGGUAGCUAAUACCGCAUAACGUCGCAAGAACAAAAAGGGGGACCUUCGGGCCUCUUGUCAUCGGAUGUGCCCAGAUGGGAUUAGCUAGUAGGUGGGGUAACGGCUCACCUAGGCGACGAUCCCUAGCUGGUCUGAGAGGAUGACCAGCCACACUGGAACUGAGACACGGUCCAGACUCCUACGGGAGGCAGCAGUGGGGAAUAUUGCACAAUGGGCGCAAGCCUGAUGCAGCCAUGCCGCGUGUAUGAAGAAGGCCUUCGGGUUGUAAAGUACUUUCAGCGGGGAGGAAGGGAGUAAAGUUAAUACCUUUGCUCAUUGACGUUACCCGCAGAAGAAGCACCGGCUAACUCCGUG